AUUUCUGCGGCUGUUCCUCUUUGCUUUUCUGUCAUUCUGAUAACGUUGGAGUAGACGGAUGUGAAAAAUUUCCGUAGUUGGGGGUGACUAUAACGUUUAAUCCUGGUCUCAUUUUUAGAUCGUGUAUUUUCUGUCUCUUGCAGGGUGUUCAACCUAGGGAGUGUUCAGCUAGACGGAACUCAUGCCUGCUUGCAAGUGUCAAGGCACGGAUCGGAUGAAGUUAAAUAUGCUGAUGUGAAAUGGAAAUUUCUAACAAGUAAUAACAGAAACAGUUACAUUUUUCCGGAUGAGGAGGACUGGGCUACUUGACUGCAAUAUUGGAUGCUUGUUCUUUUCUGAGCCUUCCAUUUGUUGCCAGCUUGGUUGAAUUAAACUGUUUUACUUCCCUAAAAUAAAAAUUGAAACCGC